GAUGAACGCUGGCGGCGUGCCUAAUACAUGCAAGUAGAACGCUGAAGGAAGGAGCUUGCUCUUUCCGGAUGAGUUGCGAACGGGUGAGUAACGCGUAGGUAACCUGCCUGGUAGCGGGGGAUAACUAUUGGAAACGAUAGCUAAUACCGCAUAACAGUAGAUGUUGCAUGACAACUAUUUGAAAGGGGCAAUUGCUCCACUACCAGAUGGACCUGCGUUGUAUUAGCUAGUUGGUGAGGUAACGGCUCACCAAGGCGACGAUACAUAGCCGACCUGAGAGGGUGAUCGGCCACACUGGGACUGAGACACGGCCCAGACUACUACGGGAGGCAGCAGUAGGGAAUCUUCGGCAAUGGACGGAAGUCUGACCGAGCAACGCCGCGUGAGUGAAGAAGGUUUUCGGAUCGUAAAGCUCUGUUGUAAGAGAAGAACGAGUGUGAGAGUGGAAAGUUCACACUGUGACGGUAUCUUACCAGAAAGGGACGGCUAACUACGUG
rnacentral:rRNA from 1 species